rnacentral:lncRNA from 1 species
UGAAAAGAACAAAGUUUUGUCCAUCUUUGUCCAUCUUUGUUCAUCAUAGCCUAAAGUUAGAGAAGAGAAAGGAGAGAAGAAAGCUCUUGAAUGUUCGGUCACUUGGGGAAGAAAAUUGAAGGUAAGUUCUUGGUACCUUGCUUCUAUUUUGAGGUUCAUGAGUUCUUCUUGAUUCUACCUUAACUCUUGAAGCAUAUUUUGGUUUUUAGUUGUGUUGUGAGCAUUUAGUCAUGAAUUAAAAUGAAGGAAAUGGUUGUUGUUUCAUGUUCUUUUGAUGAAAAAUGGAAGAUAGGUGAAGUUGAGCCAAACAAAUGAGCAUGCAUGUGCCUUAGAUGUUAAAGGGAAAAAUCGGCUAACAUGUUGUGCUUUAAAAUGAUGAAAUGGAGAUUAUACUUAAAUAAAAUCAUAGAUAUAUGAUGAUUGAUUGGUGAUAUACAUGUUUAAAUAACAUGCAUGCAAGGUAUGUGUGAAAGAGUGAUUUGGUAAUAAAUCUGCUUGGGACAGCAGCAGUAACGUGACUUUGGAAAAUCACCAUAAAUUGUGGGAGAUGAAUUAGAAGCUGAAUAAAUUAUGUAAUUAAAGCUUAUUGAGUCUAGUUUCAAAUUAAAUAAACAAGAACAUAUUUUGAAUUCUGUACAAUGAUAAAUUUGAUUCGUAAAGAAGAGUGGUCAGAUUAACCAAACAGUGAAACAUGGGAAACUUUGAGAAAAAUCUGGUAUUUAUUGGCUAAACCAAAAAUUCUGAAAAUUUUAUGGAUAGAAGAUAUAUGAGUCUAUUUUCAAGGAAAAUUAACGGAACUUGAUUUGGAGUUUCGUAGAUCCAGUUAUAAAUGAUUUAGUGACUGUUGCUCAGGAAGACAGCUUGCAGUGAAAUUUUGAUUAUGUGGUAAACAUUGACAAAAAUUUGUUAAUGAGUUGCUUAUUGAUUUCUUAUAAGCUUACUAUGAUCUGUAGGUGUGGUUGGCUGAAUAUGGUAUGGGGUUAAUAUGUAGUUCGUGCUUGAAUAGUUAGAUUAACGUGUUAGUAAUCCAAUUCUAGGCAGUUCGUGUGUGGAUCUCGUCAGCAUAUCGUCGCAAACAGGUGUGUAACUAACACCCUCUUAUAGACUAGAUCGGCACAAGUCGAAAAGCCGAAAUGCCGAAAAGCCGGUAUUUUGAGAUCUUGUGAGUGUGUGAAUGCUCAUGAGAUUAAUAUUUUGAUGUAUAUGGUAAAUUAAAGUGAUAAGACUGCAGAGUGCGCAAUUCUGUGCAUUUCGAUAUUUUUGGGCUUAAUGGGCCAAAAAGGGGAUAAUGGGCCAACGGGCCCAAAUUGGUAAGAAAAUGCGGUAAGUGUUUCUGAUCGUACGUAAAUGGCUAUGUUAUGUAUGAAAACCUUAAGAAUAGUUAAAUUACUUGAAUACCCCUAUGUAUGCAAAAUUACCAUUAUACCCCUAGGGUUACUUUUGACUAAAAAGCAUGACGAUCUGAUUCUGUAUGAUGUAUGCCAUGAUUAUAUAUCUGUUGCAUGGGGACUUUGGUUAUACUAUGGAGGAAGCGUCCUGGUGGCUAUGCCACAAUUAUCUGAUUUGGUGGCUCUGCCACAUAUAUCUGUCCUGGUGGCUAUGCCACAAUUAUCUGAUCUGGUGGCUCUGCCACAUAUAUCUGUUCUGGUGGCUUUGCCACAAUAUCUAUAUCUGGUGACUUCGUCACAAUAUCUGGCAGCCUCGCUGCGAUUUUUGUGGUGUGUAGUAGUUGGGUGGGUCGAGUAGUCUCCCCACAUGGUGUAAGGCUGGUACGGGGGUGUUAUGGAUGAAUCUGGGUUGGGUUUUUGCAUAAACAUGUAAUAUCUGUUCUGUUCUGUUCUGUUAUGGGCCUAUGGGCUUUAUUCUAAAUUUCUGUUCUGGGCUAAGGCCAACUUAUUCUGUUUCUGUGGGUUGAGCUGAUUUAGACUAUGGUUGGGUUAUUUUACACACUGAGUUUCCCCAAACUCAUCCCUUUUAUUUUCAUCCACGCAGGUAAUCCCCAACCAUAGUGGGCUUGGAGCUGUGAGGGAAUUCGGAGUGGCCACCCGUUCUGAAAGUUUGAUUUUCUUCUGGUGAACUGGACAUCUUUUUAUUUACGUUUGAAGUUUUGGGUUUUUAAGUUGUAAUAAGGCCGCUUAAUUAUUUUUGAUGGUUUUAAUAUGUAUU